AGUGAACGCUGGCGGUAGGCCUAACACAUGCAAGUCGAACGGCAGCACAGUAAGAGCUUGCUCUUACGGGUGGCGAGUGGCGGACGGGUGAGGAAUACAUCGGAAUCUACUUUUUCGUGGGGGAUAACGUAGGGAAACUUACGCUAAUACCGCAUACGACCUACGGGUGAAAGCAGGGGAUCUUCGGACCUUGCGCGAUUGAAUGAGCCGAUGUCGGAUUAGCUAGUUGGCGGGGUAAAGGCCCACCAAGGCGACGAUCCGUAGCUGGUCUGAGAGGAUGAUCAGCCACACUGGAACUGCGACACGGUCCAGACUCCUACGGGAGGCAGCAGUGGGGAAUAUUGGACAAUGGGCGCAAGCCUGAUCCAGCCAUACCGCGUGGGUGCAGAAGGCCUUCGGGUUGUAAAGCCCUUUUGUUGGGAAAGAACAGCAGCAGGUUAAUACCCCGCUGUUCUGACGGUACCCAAAGAAUAAGCACCGGCUAACUUCGUG
rnacentral:rRNA from 1 species